rnacentral:lncRNA from 1 species
GAUACUGAUUGCCUUUUAAGGAAAUUUCUGUAUCUAUCAGUUGAUGAUGUAAGGAAAAAACAAAACCAAAUAAAAACUGUAACUCUGAGCUUGACAACGGGACUAAAUGUGGACCAUUUUUUUCCCUUGGUGUUCCCAUGUCAACAAGUCAUUAUUUUUUUUCCUUUGGCUCAAUUUGAUUCACAAUUAUGGACAAUAGUUACUAGGUUCCUGGGUUUACAGAAAUAGAAUGGAAUUUUUUGCUCAUACAUUGAAUUUUGUGGAGAUGGAUGUGAUCCCACAUUCCAACAGACAAGAACAUCGAAGAUUAAGUUAGACAUUUCAACAUAACCAAGCUACUCUUAUUACUUUGUGUGUAUAUUUGUAUUUCUUUUUGCACCAAAGUCUUUGUAUGUCUAAAAAUUAAUUAAAAAAACAAAACAAAACAUUUCAUACUUUCCUGAAACUCAUCUAUUAACUACAACCAAAGGUCUGCUUGGAUGGGAGGAAAGAGUAGAGUCAACACUUCCCAGGGAGAUGAUAAGCAGACAACCACUUGCUUAGCUGAUCUGAGAAAGAAGGAUCCUAAAAUCACAGAGGGGAAAAAAAAUCUAAGAAUUAGCUAGGACUGCACAAGUUCAGAGACUGAUGGCAGAAAUAUUUGGAACUGAAGGUGUUGGGUGGAGGCAAUAGGAGGGCUGGUGGAGGGAUGCUGAUGAAGGUGGUCAGGAAUGGGGAGUUACUGUCUUACGGGUAUAGAGUUUCUGGUUGGGAUGACAAAAAUGGAAAGAUAAAGUUGUAAUGGCUGUACAACACAGAAUUGUCACUGAAUUGUAGCUGAUCAUGCUUAAAACAACAUCUUCAUGGUCCAUGUUUACAAUACACUUGUAGACCAUCUAGAUGUUUGUCUUCAUACCAUCCUCCCCCUUUCCUGCAGAAUAGGAAGGCCUUUCCACCCUGGCCAUAAUAUGGGUGGUUUCAGAUAAAGUCUGUGAACAGGGGAUAUCAGGCACAUGGCGUCAGAGGUGUUAUAGUAGAAAGAGGGACAGAAUGAUUGGAUGCAAACUGAGUGCUCAACUUCCAGUGUCACCUAUCUUCCUACUGUCCCCUCUCUCCUUGGGUCCCAGAAUACAGACCAGUGACACCUUUUAAAAAAAGAUAAAAUAAGAUAGAACAAAAAACGAACACAUCGGAAUUGGACAAAAUAAACCAACAGAAGGAAAAGAGCCUAAGAAAAUUCACUGGAAACACAGAUUCACUCGCUCAUUUGCACACUCAGGAAUCCCAUAAAAAAACUAACAUGGAAGCCAUAAUAUAUACGUAAAAGACCUGAAGGUAAAAAAGAAAGAAGAAAAAUAUAAAUAAAAUAAAGUAAAAAUAAGAAAUGAGAUAAAGAUUUUUAAAAUUAAGAUAAAAAUAUUUAAAAAGGAAAAACCCUGAAAGGACAUUAAGAGAAAGGAACCUCUAAAGAUGCCCUCGAGUUCAUUUCUUAUUGACUAUCUACUGCUGGGCAUGCACCCUAGACUGGAGAGUAGUUUGUUUCCCCAGGGAGACCAUCUUAGAGGAAACUAAUCUUUCAUUUGCAAGUGGUUACCAACUUGAGAUUGUUUCUGGAUCAGGGAUGGGACAUGUGGCUGCUUCUCCCUUUAGCUCUAGGACCCUGUCUGGUGUAGACCUGAAUAGGACCCUGUGCAUCCUGCCUCAGUCUUUGUGAGUUCAUAUGUGGGUUGAUCAUGUUGAUGUUGUGGGUCUUGUUUGCUUGGUGACCUCCACCCCCUCUGGCUCUUAUAUUCUUUCCUCUUCUUCUUUCCUCUUCUUCUUUCACAGGGUUCUCUGAGUCCUGGUAGGAAGGAUUUUAUUGAGACAUUCUAUUUAGGGCAGAAUAUUCCAAAGUCUCUCAUUCUCUGCAUAAUGUCUGUUUGUGGGUAUUUGUUCCCAUCUGCUGCAGGAGGGAACUUCUCUGGUGAUGGCCGAGUAAGGUGUUGAUCUGUGAGUAUAACAGAAUGUUAAAUUAGAAAUAAUUUUAAUGCUAUUGUUCUUUUUAUUUGUUUUAGAACAGUAGUAUUUGAUUUUGCUAUAGGUCCCUGGCCUAUCUAGUCUCAGGUUCUUGGACACUCAAGCAGUGUUGGGGAUGGGUUCCAUCUCAUGGAAUGGGCCUUCAGUCUAAUUAGAUGGUUAGUUUCUCCCACAACCUUUGUGUCUUCAUUGCCCUAGCAUAUCUUGCAGACAGAAAAGCAUUGUAGAUCAAAGGUUUUGUUGCUGGGUUGGGUCAAAGUAUCUUUUAUUCUCCUGUAAUAAUUGUUGUCUCCAAGGCUUACUGUCCCCAUCUGCUAACCUAGGCCCAAUUCUGGAAGCUUCUAGCCUCUGUACAAUCUAAUCUAGGCCUGGAAUGUUUUCAGCCUCUGAGACUUGCUGCUGAAUAAGCUCACCCUUUCUAGUUCUUUCUGAGUUCUGGCUGGAAGGUUCAACUCUUCUGUUCUGGCUCAAACUCCUCUCCAAGCUGACUGAUUCAAACUGGCUUUUCUCUUUACCUCUGACUGAAUUGAUCUACUUGGCUUCAUACUAAGUUUGGCAAUCUGUUCUAAUCUUCUGGUUCCUUCUCAUUCUCUGGUCUAGCUUGUUCUCGCUCUGCAAUCUGUCUCUCUAUAACUGUGCCAGUAAAACUGCCUCCUCUACUUUUCUCCGCUGCUCUCUCCUAAGUAGCUUCACUUUCCUUUCGCUUUUUGUGAGAGUUAGGCAGAUCCUAUUCUGUCAAAUCUUCUGAUUCAUCACUUUGCCUGCCACUCAUUUAGACAUCACUUUCAGAUGUGGGUGCUUUCUUCUACAAAGUAACUUUACCUCCAUUGUUUGGGAUUAAAGGUGUGUGUGUUAAAGCUGAGCCACACCACAGUAAAACUUUUUUUUUUUAACAACACAAUUUCAGGGUUCACAGUGUGAUCACAUAUCCUGCCAUAGAUAUGGAGCCUUGCCAUCAGUUUGUGGAAAGCAACCUAUAGUUUUGGCAAGAGCCUGUGUUGUUUGGGGGUUCCCAUGGGGCCCCUUUGGCUAACAACUCAAUUAUAUAUAGCCUGAUCCUAGUACAGGAAGCUUCAUUUGAUGAUAAGAGAUGGCCACUUGGGAUCUGUUUUCAUUAUUUGGUGAUUUCAUUAUAUAUAUAUAUAUAUUUACUGUAUUAGGUUUCCAUACUACCUCUCACAUGGCCCUUCAUUUUAGCUGUCUCUCCUCGUUUUCCCUCUAUUGUCCCCCUCUUCCCUCUCCUUCUCUACUUGUUCUUCCUGUUACAGCCAUCCCACCUCUAUCCAUCUAUAACUAUUUACUUUUCCCCCCAUUUUCUAGGGAGAUCUAUUUGUCACCCAACUAGAAUUAUAGCUUGGUUAUCAUUGACACAACUAAUAUCCACAUAUUAAUGAAUACAUAUCAUAUUUACCUUUUUGAAUGUGGGUUACCUCACUCAGGAUUAUUUUUUCUAGUUCUAUCAAUUUACCUGAGGAUUUCAUUUUUUCUUAAAAUGGGUGAGUAAUACUUCAUUGUGUAAAUGCAGCACAUUUUCUUUAUCCAUUCUUCUACUGUGGGAUGUGUAGGCUGUUUCCAGUUUCUGGCUAUACACAACAGUGAUAUCUUAACAACAGGUAGAAAAAUAUGCUGGGGAAUCUGAGUAGCUCAAAAAGAAAAGCUUAAAGAGAUUUAAAUAGCGGCUUCCUAGGAAACUGGAGUCAACCAUAGUACUGAAUUGUUCAGUGAACAGCCAAUGAGUUCCACAAUGUACUCAGAGCUUCCAAUAAAUAUUUUAGGAACUGAUCUUCAAUAUCUCCCCUUUGGACUAGAGUAAAGCCUCCAGUGUGAAAGGCUGAAAUCUAGGCUGUGUUCCUCAUCAAGCUACAGAAAGUCAGAUUUUCUCAUGACAGGGACC